GAUGAACGCUGGCGGCGUGCCUAAUUCAUGCAAGUCGAGCGAACAGACGAGGAGCUUGCUCCUCUGACGUUAGCUGCGGACGGGUGAGUAACACGUGGAUAACCUACCUAUAAGACUGGGAUAACUUCGGGAAACCGGAGCUAAUACCGGAUCAUAUAUUGAACCGCAUGGUUCAAUAGUGAAAGACGGUUUUGCUGUCACUUAUAGAUGGAUCCGCGCCGCAUUAGCUAGUUGGUAAGGUAACGGCUUACCAAGGCGACGAUGCGUAGCCGACCUGAGAGGGUGAUCGGCCACACUGGAACUGAGACACGGUCCAGACUCCUACGGGAGGCAGCAGUAGGGAAUCGUCCGGAAUGGGCGAAAGCCUGACGGAGCAACGCCGCGUGAGUGAUGAAGGUCUUCGGAUCGUAAAACUCUGUUAUUAGGGAAGAACAAAUGUGUAAGUAACUAUGCACGUCUUGACGGUACCUAAUCAGAAAGCCACGGCUAACUACGUG
rnacentral:rRNA from 1 species